ACAAUUUGAGCAUUUCCUAACUUGAAGGAAUCCAAAACUUGACUUAUGAAUCAGAUUCCCUUCUUGCUCUUACUUUCAUCAAGGGCGUAGAUAUUACUAACCCUUGUUGCCCAAUAGUCUCCAAGAUUAUUUUGUUAUGGCAACAAGAUUGGGCUCUUCAGUUCAAGUAUACAUUAAGGGAGGGGAACUAAGUUUCUGAAUCUUUGACCAAAGAUGGUGCUCAAGGAAUUCAUGAGUCGAUUAUUCAUGAAACUUAUCCUAUUUCUGUGCAGUCCAAGUUGUUACCUGAUGCCUUAGGGUGUUGUUCCUAAGGUCUUAGUUUCUUUUGUUCUCUUUUUU
rnacentral:lncRNA from 1 species